rnacentral:rRNA from 1 species
CCGGCGAUGUCCGAAUGGGGAAACCCAGUGCAAUUCGUUGCACUAUCGUUAACUGAAUACAUAGGUUAACGAGGCGAACCGGGGGAACUGAAACAUCUAAGUACCCCGAGGAAAAGAAAUCAACCGAGAUUCCCCCAGUAGCGGCGAGCGAACGGGGAGCAGCCCAGAGUCUGAAUCAGCUUGUGUGUUAGUGGAACGGUCUGGAAAGUCCGACGGUACAGGGUGAUAGUCCCGUACACCAAAAUGCACAGGCUGUGAACUCGAAGAGUAGGGCGGGACACGUGGUAUCCUGUCUGAAUAUGGGGGGACCAUCCUCCAAGGCUAAAUACUCCUGACUGACCGAUAGUGAACCAGUACCGUGAGGGAAAGGCGAAAAGAACCCCGGCGAGGGGAGUGAAAAAGAACCUGAAACCGUGUACGUACAAGCAGUGGGAGCACCUUCGGGUGUGACUGCGUACCUUUUGUAUAAUGGGUCAGCGACUUAUAUUCUGUAGCAAGGUUAACCGUAUAGGGGAGCCGCAGGGAAACCGAGUCUUAACUGGGCGUUAAGUUGCAGGGUAUAGACCCGAAACCCGGUGAUCUAGCCAUGGGCAGGUUGAAGGUUGGGUAACACUAACUGGAGGACCGAACCGACUAAUGUUGAAAAAUUAGCGGAUGACUUGUGGCUGGGGGUGAAAGGCCAAUCAAACCGGGAGAUAGCUGGUUCUCCCCGAAAGCUAUUUAGGUAGCGCCUCGUGAACUCAUCUUCGGGGGUAGAGCACUGUUUCGGCUAGGGGGUCAUCCCGACUUACCAACCCGAUGCAAACUACGAAUACCGAAGAAUGUUAUCACGGGAGACACACGGCGGGUGCUAACGUCCGUCGUGAAGAGGGAAACAACCCAGACCGCCAGCUAAGGUCCCAAAGUCAUGGUUAAGUGGGAAACGAUGUGGGAAGGCACAGACAGCCAGGAUGUUGGCUUAGAAGCAGCCAUCAUUUAAAGAAAGCGUAAUAGCUCACUGGUCGAGUCGGCCUGCGCGGAAGAUGUAACGGGGCUAAACCAUGCACCGAAGCUGCGGCAGCGACACUAUGUGUUGUUGGGUAGGGGAGCGUUCUGUAAGCCUGCGAAGGUGUGCUGUGAGGCAUGCUGGAGGUAUCAGAAGUGCGAAUGCUGACAUAAGUAACGAUAAAGCGGGUGAAAAGCCCGCUCGCCGGAAGACCAAGGGUUCCUGUCCAACGUUAAUCGGGGCAGGGUGAGUCGACCCCUAAGGCGAGGCCGAAAGGCGUAGUCGAUGGGAAACAGGUUAAUAUUCCUGUACUUGGUGUUACUGCGAAGGGGGGACGGAGAAGGCUAUGUUAGCCGGGCGACGGUUGUCCCGGUUUAAGCAUGUAGGCUGGUUAUCCAGGCAAAUCCGGAUAAUCAAGGCUGAGGUGUGAUGACGAGGCACUACGGUGCUGAAGUAACAAAUGCCCUGCUUCCAGGAAAAGCCUCUAAGCAUCAGGUAACAUCAAAUCGUACCCCAAACCGACACAGGUGGUCAGGUAGAGAAUACCAAGGCGCUUGAGAGAACUCGGGUGAAGGAACUAGGCAAAAUGGUGCCGUAACUUCGGGAGAAGGCACGCUGGUGUGUAGGUGAAGUCCCUGCGGAUGGAGCUGAGACCAGUCGAAGAUACCAGCUGGCUGCAACUGUUUAUUAAAAACACAGCACUGUGCAAACACGAAAGUGGACGUAUACGGUGUGACGCCUGCCCGGUGCCGGAAGGUUAAUUGAUGGGGUUAUCCGUAAGGAGAAGCUCUUGAUCGAAGCCCCGGUAAACGGCGGCCGUAACUAUAACGGUCCUAAGGUAGCGAAAUUCCUUGUCGGGUAAGUUCCGACCUGCACGAAUGGCGUAAUGAUGGCCAGGCUGUCUCCACCCGAGACUCAGUGAAAUUGAACUCGCUGUGAAGAUGCAGUGUACCCGCGGCAAGACGGAAAGACCCCGUGAACCUUUACUAUAGCUUGACACUGAACAUUGAGCCUUGAUGUGUAGGAUAGGUGGGAGGCUUUGAAGCGUGGACGCCAGUCUGCGUGGAGCCAACCUUGAAAUACCACCCUUUAAUGUUUGAUGUUCUAACGUUGGCCCCUGACCGGGGUUGCGGACAGUGUCUGGUGGGUAGUUUGACUGGGGCGGUCUCCUCCCAAAGCGUAACGGAGGAGCACGAAGGUUAGCUAAUCCUGGUCGGACAUCAGGAGGUUAGUGCAAUGGCAUAAGCUAGCUUGACUGCGAGCGUGACGGCGCGAGCAGGUGCGAAAGCAGGUCAUAGUGAUCCGGUGGUUCUGAAUGGAAGGGCCAUCGCUCAACGGAUAAAAGGUACUCCGGGGAUAACAGGCUGAUACCGCCCAAGAGUUCAUAUCGACGGCGGUGUUUGGCACCUCGAUGUCGGCUCAUCACAUCCUGGGGCUGAAGUAGGUCCCAAGGGUAUGGCUGUUCGCCAUUUAAAGUGGUACGCGAGCUGGGUUUAGAACGUCGUGAGACAGUUCGGUCCCUAUCUGCCGUGGGCGCUGGAGAAUUGAGGGGGGCUGCUCCUAGUACGAGAGGACCGGAGUGGACGCAUCACUGGUGUUCGGGUUGUCAUGCCAAUGGCACUGCCCGGUAGCUAAAUGCGGAAGAGAUAAGUGCUGAAAGCAUCUAAGCACGAAACUUGCCCCGAGAUGAGUUCUCCCUGAGACUUUAAGUCUCCUGAAGGAACGUUAAAGACGAUGACGUUGAUAGGCCGGGUGUGUAAGCGCAGCGAUGCGUUGAGCUAACCGGUACUAAUGAACCGUGAGGCUUAACCUUACAACGCCGAAG